CUGAAGCCACAUACCAUCAACCCACGAAAAAUCUCGUUAAAUAAACAACACCAAAUUUCCUUAUUGCUAAUAGGAAGGGCGGGAUGAAAACAAUCAACCUCAAAAAUUUCUCCCUCUCUUUAAUUACCUGGAUGACCAGUCAUUAUAGAACGAAUUUAUUUUCUCCACUUCUUUCUAUAUCUUAAGGUUCAUUUCUCCUCCUACUAACUACUCCAUCCACCCACCCACCUUUAGCACUUCCCAAUCAUCUACGUCACAAAGCAUUAGUACUCAUCAUCGAAUUUCACAAUUUCUGAUUUUCGUUGCUGCAUUCCAGCACACUACACUGCGCCAUUUAGCUGUAUAAGCCAUGUUAUGUUGAUUCUGAGUUAACACAGGUAAGAAGACACAUAAAGCCCACUUUAAACUUGAACUUGUAUUCGUGUGCUCUAAAACGUACAACACUAUACCAAAGCAGCACGAGAAAACAAGUUCAAGUUUAAAGAGACAUAAUAACACCUACAGCUACACAAUGGCGAUCAAUCAUACACAAUUGCUAGACAUCAAAUCAUAGGCAAUUGGGGUCGAUCUUAUGUAAUUGCUGUGGGUAUGCAAUUGAGGUCGGUGAUGAAAGCAGCGGUCAUGCUCGCCUCUCAAUCCUUUACGAAUGUAUUAAGGGAGUGCCAUGCCAUGCCAUGCCAUUUUCUCAGUCACGUAAACCUCGAUACGAUACAAGCUCUAACCUUCCCAUCCCGUAUUUACGUUUUUGCAGUAUUAUAGGAAAGAUGAAUAGGGUGGAAUGAGUCCGCUCUAGCAAUCGUUUGGUAAGCCGGCUUCGUUGAAUUGCAGUAUGUCAUUUGUUUAGCAGGCUGAAACAGCAUUGCCCUGUAGUUUUCAUUGCAAGCCCCUCGUUUUUUGAAGAUUAGGUUUAUCGUGUAUGCAUUUUUAAUUAAGCGGAUCACUCAGGUGGGCGUAUGAAAUAGGGAUUUGCCAUAGUUGUCCAUUCAACUAAAGAUUAGAUUGUUAAAAGGCUUAUGAUUCGCGGAACUAAACAUAGCGAAUACUUCAUAUGCUGGCAAAACGUUGUUUACAUGGGAAAUACAUGGCGCUUCCAUCAUGGCUCGUUGAUUUUUGUAAAUAUAUAAAUAGUGGCGGGCAGCAGUCAAGGUGAA